rnacentral:rRNA from 1 species
GAUGAACGCUGGCGGCGUGCCUAAUACAUGCAAGUCGAGCGAACGGACCAGAAGCUUGCUUCUCUGAUGUUAGCGGCGGACGGGUGAGUAACACGUGGAUAACCUACCUAUAAGACUGGGAUAACUUCGGGAAACCGGAGCUAAUACCGGAUAAUAUUUUGAACCGCAUGGUUCAAAAGUGAAAGACGGUCUUGCUGUCACUUAUAGAUGGAUCCGCGCUGCAUUAGCUAGUUGGUAAGGUAACGGCUUACCAAGGCAACGAUGCAUAGCCGACCUGAGAGGGUGAUCGGCCACACUGGAACUGAGACACGGUCCAGACUCCUACGGGAGGCAGCAGUAGGGAAUCUUCCGCAAUGGGCGAAAGCCUGACGGAGCAACGCCGCGUGAGUGAUGAAGGUCUUCGGAUCGUAAAACUCUGUUAUUAGGGAAGAACAUAUGUGUAAGUAACUGUGCACAUCUUGACGGUACCUAAUCAGAAAGCCACGGCUAGCUACGUG